rnacentral:lncRNA from 1 species
UUUGAUUCAAAGCAUCAUCCAAAAUGGCUGACUUCUGCUUAUGUGAAGAGACCAGGUGGCCCAGAAGGAGUACUGGGGGUGCUGAGGUGACCAACCAGCUCAGUUUGAACCCUCAUAGCAGACCUCCCAGGAAAACCUUCAAUCCUGGACAAGAAAUAACAAUUGGCCCACCUAUUUGUAACCUGGUCACCUAUUGCUUAUCCUUCAGGUCUCAGUUUAAAUGUCCUCUAAGGUCUCGUUAUUCAGUGUGAUUGUUGUACUAAUACUCCAAAUCUUCUUGACUAAUUACAGUUUAAUACAACUCCUAGGUAACGUGGAUGAACAAUGAAGGUUACAUAAAUUCAAGGAAUUUUUACUUCUCUGACCAGAUCAUACACCACUCUCUUUCCCAAUAGACUACAAAUUCAUGAGGGUGAGGCCUGUGUCUCUUAUUUUUUAAUAUUUUGAACCCUGAGUAUAGUAUUAGAUCAAAUUUAAAGGCUUAAAAAUCUUUCAUGCAUGAAGACAUGAAACACCUAGAAUAUAUGAGUAAAAACAGACUGUAGCAGGUGCAGUUGAGAGCCCACACAUAUAGCCCUGUCAUUCAUCUGAAUUCACCUGACACAUCUCAAGACAUUCUCAGCUUUCCUUCUCA